rnacentral:rRNA from 1 species
UACGGAGGGAGCUAGCGUUGUUCGGAAUUACUGGGCGUAAAGCGCGCGUAGGCGGCUUUGUAAGUUAGAGGUGAAAGCCCGGGGCUCAACUCCGGAAUUGCCUUUAAGACUGCAUCGCUAGAAUCCGGGAGAGGGAUGUGGAAUUCCAGGUGUAGCGGUGAAAUGCGCAGAUAUCAGGAAGAACACCCGUGGCGAAGGCGGCUUUCUGGGACGGUACUGACGCUGAGACGCGAAAGCGUGGGGAGCGAACAGG